UACAGAGGGGGCAAGCGUUGUUCGGAAUUACUGGGCGUAAAGGGCGCGUAGGCGGCCUUCUAAGUCGAACGUGAAAUCCCCGGGCUCAACCCGGGAACUGCGUCCGAUACUGGAAGGCUUGAAUCCGGGAGAGGGAUGCGGAAUUCCAGGUGUAGCGGUGAAAUGCGUAGAUAUCUGGGAGGAACACCGGUGGCGAAGGCGCAUCCUGGACCGGCAUUGACGCUGAGGCGCGAAAGCCAGGGGAGCAAACGGG
rnacentral:rRNA from 1 species